rnacentral:lncRNA from 1 species
GACUGAAUUGGAGGGCGUUUGUAAGAUUAAGCUGAGUUACCCACAACCAACUGCAUCAGAAGACGCUGGGGUACUUCUCAAAUUUAAUCUUCCCCCUGCUCUAUAGCAAGAAGACAUUGUGUGACCAUGCAAGUACAAGAACCAAGAGAAACUCACAAGCAUUUGGCAGCCAGAAUUUCCAAGACCAGUCAACAGGCCGAGAAGGUGUUGAGAACAAUGCACAGCAAGAAAUACUCUACUUCAGAUCUGGAAAAUUUGCCUCUGUAGUAGUCAAAAGAUUGAAUUUCACAUGGAAAGAGAGUAAAGCAGGACCUUCCUCUGGCCUCACACUCACCAGAGUCAUCGUCAUUCUUGCAUUUGCUGAAGCUGCUCCUCGCUUGUUGACUACCUGGAAGCCCUGUGGUCUCCGCUCUCUACCCAGUGUCAUCAGGCACAGGGCAGGCUCCCAGUCCCAGGGGUCCAGCCACACCUUGGCAGGACUCAGAGCACUCCAAGAAGCAGACUGCAGGGUGUCUACAGUUGAGGAGGUUCAGAAGGGGGUCCAGCAUGGUCAGAGUCUGCAGCAAAGCAAAGACAAGAUGAGUAAUAUAUGGAGCCCCAGAAGUCUCCCCUGCCUGCAAGAAUUUGCUGAGAAGCCAUCGGUUCCAUUCCUGCUUCCUCCACUAUGAAGGAGGUGGUGCAACCUGUUCUCCACAUCAAAAUGA